rnacentral:lncRNA from 1 species
UUAAGGUCAUUGAUUGAAUAUGUUCUGAGUCGAAAUUAAUUUGUCAAUUUGAAUCAAAUAAACACCGCACAAAGAUGGGAAAAUAAAAUAACACCACAAUAAGAUGACGACUAACACAAUGUCGCACUAAGACGACUAAAUCACGAAUAAAUAAAUAAAAAUAUAUGUAAAAUCACCGAUUUUAAUGAAAAGGAAAGAAAAAAGAAUUUAGAAAGGUGAAUUUGGAUUAAAAAAU